GGCCUGUUGGUCAAGCGGUUAAGACACGGCCCUUUCACGGCUGUAACGGGGGUUCGAUUCCCCCACAGGUCA
rnacentral:tRNA from 1 species